CAGUCGACGAGAAGGGAUUGCUUGCAAUCCUGAGUAGAGUGGCGCACGGGUGAGUAACACGUAGAUAAUCUACCUUUGAACCUGGGAUAACUAAUCGAAAGGUUAGCUAAUACCGGAUGAAGUUAAUCGGCACAAGUUGAUUGAUGAAAGACUGCCUCUGCUUGCAAGCAGUUGUUUGGAGAUGAGUUUGCGGACCAUUAGCUAGUUGGUGGGGUAAAGGCCUACCAAGGCGAUGAUGGUUAGCUGGUCUGAGAGGAUGAUCAGCCACACUGGAACUGAAACACGGUCCAGACUCCUACGGGAGGCAGCAGUGAGGAAUUUUGCGCAAUGGGGGCAACCCUGACGCAGCAACGCCGCGUGAGUGAAGAAGGCCUUUGGGUCGUAAAGCUCUGUCAACCGGGAAGAAGUUAUGGGAGUCGAAUAGGCUUUCAUAUUGACGGUACCGGUGAAGGAAGCAUCGGCUAACUCCGUGCCAGCAGCCGCGGUAAUACGGGGGAUGCAAGCGUUAUUCGGAAUUAUUGGGCGUAAAGGGCGCGUAGGCGGUUUUGUCGGUCAGAUGUGAAAGCCCGGGGCUCAACCCCGGACGUGCAUUUGAAACAGCAAGACUUGAGUACGGGAGAGGAAAGCGGAAUUCCUGGUGUAGAGGUGGAAUUCGUAGAUAUCAGGAGGAACACCGAUGGCGAAGGCAGCUUUCUGGACCGAUACUGACGCUGAGGCGCGAAGGCGUGGGUAGCGAACAGGAUUAGAUACCCUGGUAGUCCACGCAGUAAACAAAUGUACACUCGGUGUAGCGGAUAUUAAAAUCUGCUGCGCCCAAGCUAACGCUUUAAGUGUACCCCCCUGGGAGUACGGUCGCAAGACUAAAACUCCAAAGGAAUUGACGGGGGUCCCCCCCAAGCCGGGGAACAGGGGGGUUUAAAUUCAAAGCAACCGCGAAGAAACCUUACCUGGGGUUUGACAUCCUGGGAAAUCUUUGUAAAAAAUUACAAAAGGUGCCCUUUCGGGAACCCC
rnacentral:rRNA from 1 species